UGGAAUGAGUACAAUUUAAAAACCUUAACGAGGAACAAUUGGAGGGCAAGUCUGGUGCCAGCAGCCGCGGUAAUUCCAGCUCCAAUAGUGUAUAUUAAAGUUGCUGCGGUUAAAAAGCUCGUAGUUGGAUUUCGGAGUUGUUAUCUGAACCUUCUCGCCAUAAAAGUGGGGGGCUAAGGUAGCAGUAGUUUUCAUCAUAGUCCACCAGGAUACUCUCUUGGUGUGUACUGGGUGUUAACCUCCUUUUUUUCUGGUACUUGCUAUCCAGCAAUGGGUAGUUUUGUCCAGAUAGUUUACUUUGAAAAAAUUAGAGUGUUCAAAGCAGGCAUAAUUGGCAUCAUGAAUACAUUAGCAUGGGAUAAUAGAAUAUGACAUUGGUCUUAUUUUGUUGGUUUUCUAAGGCCAAAGUAAUGAUUGAUAGGGAUAGUU
rnacentral:rRNA from 1 species